GCUAUGUAUUAGCUAUUUUGCUAUAAAUAACAUAAUCCUAAUUAUUUUGUCUUCAUGGGUCAUUAGAUUUCUUUGAUAUAAUUGUGACUUCUUAGUUUAAGGGUAAGUAAAAUUACUUCAAAUUAUUCUCAUUGAGAAAUUUUGAAAAUAAUAUGUUAAGAGAGUUUAUCACUUGACUGAUCAAGAGCAAAAAUGCAGUGUUUGGAGCUGCCAUUUUGAGGUUAUAUUUUGUAAGUGAAAUUUCUAUAAUCUUUUUUUUUUUUUAGAGUAAAAUUUGUAGUUUAUUCUUCUCUACUAAAAUUAUGGUAUGAGAAUCUCCUGCAUUUGUGUAGAAAUUUGGAAAUAUGGUCAGGAAAUUACAGAGCUGUUACAUGAAGGAUUUUCUCUGAUCCUCUGAUCCUGUCAGUUGGAUUAGUUCUGUCUCUGUAUAUAGUA
rnacentral:lncRNA from 1 species